CCUACGGGUGGCAGCAGUGAGGAAUAUUGGUCAAUGGACGAGAGUCUGAACCAGCCAAGUAGCGUGAAGGAUGACUGCCCUAUGGGUUGUAAACUUCUUUUAUAUGGGAAUAAAAUGUUCCACGUGUGGGAUUUUGUAUGUACCAUAUGAAUAAGGAUCGGCUAACUCCGUGCCAGCAGCCGCGGUAAUACGGAGGAUCCGAGCGUUAUCCGGAUUUAUUGGGUUUAAAGGGAGCGUAGGUGGAUUGUUAAGUCAGUUGUGAAAGUUUGCGGCUCAACCGUAAAAUUGCAGUUGACACUGGCAGUCUUGAGUACAGUAGAGGUGGGCGGAAUUCGUGGUGUAGCGGUGAAAUGCUUAGAUAUCACGAAGAACUCCGAUUGCGAAGGCAGUUCACUGGACUGCAACUGACACUGAGGCUCGAAAGUGUGGGUAUCAAACAGGAGUAGAUACCCUUGUAGUC
rnacentral:rRNA from 1 species